UACUACCCCCCACCCCUGCCCCGGGCUACUACAGAGUGCAGUGUGUUCAAGGGCCAGUGCCCAGUGUGCUGUAGUCUAUCUCCUCCUCCGCUGCUGCUGGUGCAUAGAGACAUGUACGCGCAAGGUUAGUUUGAGUCCACACCAAAUGCCCCGCCGGCGUAUACCCUUUACCAGAAUGAAGCGUACAGCAUUUGCAGGGAUGAUCACUGUAUGCAAUGUGCGGUGCUUUCAAGUAUAUGUACAGUGAUUCCGGGCCGGACGCUCGCUGUUUCUGGAUUUCUUCUCGCAAAGUUUUCUGCAUUCCUUGAGACCACGUAACGCUAUCUGAGUUGACUGACUGCCCUAUCAACAAAUCCACCGACUUUUUCCUGUCGCUCACGUAUUGUGCAAGUCACGGCUCUGCUUGUAUAAACAAUUGUAUAUCAUGGUAAUGUCACACAGUCAUGGAGGUGGGAAAUGGGCUCAUAUCUCUGCACCAGUUUGCGCAUUCUAAUUGCUCCGGCUAAUGUUUCCUUGGCAACAGUUGUAGUCUGAAGUUGCAUUUGCUUCGAUGCACACAAUAAUGGUCAUGUGAAGGUGUGUGUGUGUUUUUCUGCUGCAGUGAAUCUAAUGGUCAUGUGAAGGUGUGUGUGUGUUUUUCUGCAGCAGUGAAUCCACAACCAAUGCACUAUACUUUUAAAAGAGCCCGGUGACGCUGUCACAUUUAUUGUCAAUUAUUUGAUUUCGUAUAAUAGUAUUAUGUACCGCUGGUUUAGUGCAUUUCACACGUCUCAGCCGUAUCUCUUUUUGCAACACCAAAACACUGAGAAGUACACUUGCUCGAUUAUUUUGACA